CACCUGAGAUCCAGGCUCUGCUAGACUUGUCCCCAACGUCCUACUCCCCCAGUCUCCCACAGUCAGGGUGCCCCAUAUCAGCUGAGACCUAGGGUUCUGUCUGAAUUUGUUUGUUGUUUCCUAAGGUUCUAACCUGGCAUCUUGCUCAAACUCCUUGGAGGACUCAGACAACCACAGGGAGCCUGAGAAGGAGCUGUUGUCUGGUGGACUUAAUCAUCGCCCAGACAAGACACAUGAUAAGGUGAGCAGUUCAGCUGUGUGACACACUCCUGUGAUAUGUUGCAUUACCCUGGGUCCAAAGCAAAGGGACCAACCAAUCCAGGUGGAGACUUCCAAACUGAUUUCUCACUGUGACCCUGGGUGCCCUGGAAGUCUCUUCAGAGGCCAGGCUGGCCUUGAACUCAAAAGAUGUGCUUGCCUCUGCCUCCCGAGUGCUGGCAUUAAAGGUGUGCACCAGCAUCAGCAAUCACCACCACUCAGCUUGAGCAUCAUCUUAUUUAAGUCAUUGCAACAGAGGGAUCUGCCCAGCAAAUGACAAAGGUCCUACAGCUGGGAGAGAAGCACAGUUGGAUUUUGCCUCUGGACUUACAGGUAUGGUUGUAUAAGGACGUCAGCUUGCUCCAAAGCAUCUAUAAGGAGAAGAGCAUCGACAAAGCAUCUAUUUCAGUGUGCCAGGAAUUCAUGCUUUUAUGCUUGAAGAACUACUGAAUCCGGCUGAGAACAGCAGAAGCCCAUGGUGUCCUGGACGGAAGUUGCUCUCCCCAGUUCAGCUGAGGUCCAUCUCCAAACACCAUGGUCGGAUUCAGUUUCUACCCUUCAAGGACCUCGCACAGGGGACUAAAUUUCAACACAGGAACUCUGCAUUCACUGCCACUAAGCCAUAGCAGCAACUGAAGUCUGAUAAUCCUGAGUCAGCAAAAUUAAAAUCAUAAGAUAACUCAUUUCUACUCAUCUUUCUGAAUCAGGAGUCACACUUUCAAGGGGUGUUCUGUGUCUAACGCACCUAAGGGUGGUUAAGAAAGAACAGAGGAAUGGAAACAAAAGAAACAGGAAAACAAGUACAACGGCCGAUGUCUGUCCAAUCAAAUCAAUAAGCCAUUAUAUGGGAAUGCUGUGAAUACCUGAAUGAGAGAGCAGACGUUGAGUUAGCUUUGUAAGAGAGCAAGAAUUUGGAAAUACCAACAGAUGUUUCCAUGGGAACGAGCCUCAGAGAUCAUGAUAAAUAAGAGCAUCCUCCAGAGUAAGAACUUGGGCUGAGUGAUUCCAGCAGCGGAGAAGCUGGAAGAGUGACGACACAAUCCAGCAGAAAUAGCCAGGCCUCUGACAAGUCGGUGGGAGCGAUUAGGACCAGCCAGGACCCUAGGAGAAGUUCUCUGCCGAGUGUGCCUCUCACGACAAAGAAGACCAGCAAAGACGUGAACCCAAUGAAGUGUUGCAAAGCUGUCUCUGCAAGCACCCAGUCACGGUCCAUUGAGUCUUAUGUAUACUCUCUCCAAACAUGUGUCCUCCCACGGGCCUUGCCUCAGCAAAACGCCAUGUAAAUCUGCAUCACAUGAUAUAUCCGGAAACUUUCGCUUCCCAGUCUGAAAUAACUAUUUUCACUCUCUAGCCAUAGCCCUCUGAAUGUACCCCAUCUUGUCUGAAAUGAAUACUUUAAUGUAUUAUUUACUUUACUUGGUAAUUAUGGUUUUGCAUGCUGUAUUACCUACUCUGGUGACACUGAACAAAGGCCUGAGAGGAGCAACUUGGAGGAAGAAAGGUACAUUUUGGCUUAUGGUUUCAGUCAGUCACGGUGAGGAAGGCAGGGCAGAGUGGCUCUAUUCAUGGUGGCAGGAGUGUGAGGUGAUGGCUUGUUUACGUGGUGGCAGACAGGAAACAAAGAGAGUAGGCAGCACUGAGACAAGCAGACAGAGGGGAUAGUUUAGUAACCAGGACUCUACUUAUUUUGGGUUCUGCACAUACCUUUCUUUUAAUAAUGCACGUGGCAGCCCAAAAGCCUUACCUACGGGUACCAGGCACGCACACAUGCAGUACUACGUACUGAGCAAUGCACCUAGCAUCUGUUAGUGACCUAGGACCCUCAUCUGCACCAAGCUACAUACACGCCCCAGUUUGAACAGUCAGUCUCUCUCUCCUUAUUAGCCAUCAAACUUAGACAGAUUAUAUUCCAUUGUGCUCUGCUUAUCAGGAAUGAAGUCAGCUUGAACUGGCUUUGGUUGCAUGUACAAUGUAAAACUGCUCUCAAGUAAACUUUAAGGGAUCGUCCUCUAUUUAUUAUCUUAUGCCUGUGCAUAAUUAGGUAUGCCUAUGAUUAAAAUCAGGUGUAUUAUGGGAAGAGACACACAUAGUAGAAAAAUGAUUGUAUGAUCCAAUCUAUUAAUAUACAUACUACACUCUUAGGAACCAAACUCUUCCUUUUCUGAGCCCCCUGUGUUGAUGACUGUGGCCUGUGUUUCCACCAGAGACCAUGUGGAUGUCCACGGUCUAUGCUGUGGCCUGAAGCCAUGUUAGUGUCCCUGGGCAGUGCAGCCACCAAGGGCCAUGUUGAUGUGAAUAGCCAUGCUGAGGCCUGAGGUCUGUGGUCUGUGCUGCCCCCGAAGCCAGGGCUGUGUUUGUGGUCUGUGCUGUGGCCCGGAACCACAGGGAAGCCCAUAAUCUGAGCUCUCGCUGACCACAAAGAGCAAGGAAGUUGGUUUUGCAGUGCUAUCGAUGACUGCCGAUGCAUAGUUGAAAAGGGACAUGGAAGGCUUCUGUGACACCUCCCCAGCCCCCAAGAAAAGUAGCAGCUUAAACGGGAAGAUAUUGAAGAGAACUCUUACAACGUGCAAUAAGAAUGCUGAAGUUAGCCCUCCACAGUAGACGGCGCCAGGCAGGGCUGCAGGAUGACAACGACUGCGUUCUAUUUGGGGGCAGGCCCCUGAGAGUUUGACC
rnacentral:sRNA from 1 species